GAAGAGAAGGAGUUGUUAUCAUUGUUUGGAAGAAGUAACAUUUACUUGAGAGUUUUAGGAGUUCCCUUUGUGGUGCAGCAGAAAGGAAUCCAACCAAUAUCCAUGAAGAUUUGUUCCCUGGCCUCGCUCAGUGGGUGGGGCAUCUGAUGCUGCUGUGAGCUGUGGUAUAUGUUGGAUCUCAAGUUUCUGUGGCUGUGAUGUAGGCCGGCAGCUGUAGCUCAGAUUCGACCCCUAGCCUGGGAACUUCCAUGUGCUAAAAAGCAAAAAAACAAAACAAACACACAAAAAACAUCUGCAUGAGAGUUUUCCAUUUACAUGGAAUUUUCUCUUUCCUGUCUCAGGGAUGGUGAUCUCAACAUUCUGGGUCAGAACCAGCUGUAUCCAGUUAAAGGGGAUUAGCCAUUUCCCCCAGCAAUGAUAAGCAGGGGUUAUACUGUGGCAGUCAGCUGUAAAUGGUGAGUGUUUGCUACCUCAAGUUCAUUCAGCUUUAUCCUUUGGGAUGCUCGAUAAAAAAUAGAGGAGUUCCCGUCGUGGCACAGUGGUUAACGAAUAAGGAACCAUGAGGUUGCGGGUUCGGUCCCUGGCCUUGCUCAGUGGGUUAAGGAUCCGGCGUUGCCGUGAGCUGUGGUGUAGGUCACAGACACGACUCGGAUCCCACGUUGCUGUGGCUCUGGCAUAGGCCCGUGGCUAUAGCUCAAGUUAGACCCCUAGCCUGGGAAACUCCAUAUGCCGCAGGAGUGGCCCAAGAAAUGGCAAAAAGACAAAAAAAAAAAAAAUACAAAAUAGAAUCUAUUAUGCUAUCCCAAAACCUAGAAAAACACCUAUAAAGUUAACUAACUGUAGGGGGCAGUGUGUGAUAGGCAUCAGCACUUAUAAUACGUUCAAAGUAUAGGAGAAGUUUUUUAGCUAGGAGUAAGCAGCUUAAUAACUGGUGUAAGUGCUAAGAAGAAAAAUCGUAUGAUCAUUUCCAGUGAUGCAGAAAAGGUAUGUAACAAGAUACUCGUUCAUGUUAAAAAAAAAAACCUUAAAAACGGAACUAAUAACAAAUUCCUUAACAUUAAAAAAAUACACAUGCUGUCACCUCAAAACAGCACCUACUUCUGGGGAAAUGUCAGAAGCUUCCUUGUUCAUGUUAGGAGAAAGACAAAGAUAUCCACUACUUUACUAUGGUUUAACAUUGUGUUGAAGCUACUAGAUAAUGCAGCUGGCUGAGAGAAAAACAAUUAGAAGCAUAAGAAUUGGUAAGAAAGAGGUAAAAUAUCAUCUGUAUAUUUACAGAUGAAAUAAUUAGAAAAUAUAAAAGAGAAGGAAAACCACGACCCAAAGACAGGUUGUACAUAAACAACAAUUUAAAAACAGUUUUUAUAUCAUUCAUAUUUCAAAACAAAAAACAACUAAAGAAAUGUGGAAGAGCACGUUUUGUAUUUCAUGAAAGCAAAAAGAAAGAGAAAGGAAGGAACAUACUUUUUUUGGAAAGAACAUUCUUAAGUGCAAAUUAAGGCUAGGCAGAUAGGUUAAUGAAAUGAUGGAAUGGCAAAUAAUAAUUAGGCCUAAUUGCAUGUAGAAAUUUAGUAUAUGAUAAAGACAGCAUCUCAAAACAGUGGGGAGGACUGGUUUCUCAGUAUGUUGUGUCAAGUGUGAUUGUGAUAGAAUCCCAUUUUAAACCAGCAGCCUUUGAGCUGGGAUUCCGGGACUCCUGGAGUUAUAUGAAGACUUGCCAAGAGUUAUGCAUGCACAGAUAGUUCUAAUGGAAUCCAAUUACACACACACACACACACAUGCAUACAUAUAAAGUUAGAAAAGUUCUUUUGUAUUACAACCUCAAUAUAAGAUUCCUUGCAUCUGUCUGUCUGUCUAUCAUCUAUCUAUCAUCUAUCUAUCUAUCUAUCAUCUAUCUAUGUUAGAACUAGAUUUCAGAAGUGAAUUGGUUGUAACUAGAAUCUAUACUGUAACAUCUUUAUUUGAUUUGAAAAAUGAUGUCAGACUUUUUCUUAAAGAAAAUAAAUCUUGGAGUUCCCAUCGUGGCUCAGUGGCUAACGAAUCCGACUAGGAACCAUGAGGUUGCUGGUUCGAUCCCUAGCCUUGCUCAGGGGGUUAAGGAUCAGGUGUUGCCGUGAGCUGUGGUGUAGGUCACAGAUGCGGCUCGGAUCUGGCGUUGCUGUGGCUCUGGCAUAGGCUGGCGGCUACAGCUCUGAUUGGACUCCUAGCCUGGGAACCUCCAUAUGCCGCAGGAGUGGCCUAAGAAAUAGCAAAAGGACACACACACACACACACAAAAAAAAAAAAAAAAAAAAAAAAAAAA
ensembl:lncRNA